UACAGAGGUCUCAAGCGUUGUUCGGAUUCAUUGGGCGUAAAGGGUGCGUAGGCGGCGCGGUAAGUCGGAUGGUGAAAUCUCGGAGCUUAACUUCGAAACUGCAUUCGAUACUGCCGUGCUUGAGGACUGGAGAGGAGACUGGAAUUUACGGUGUAGCGGUGAAAUGCGUAGAUAUCGUAAGGAAGACCAGUGGCGAAGGCGGGUCUCUGGACAGUUCCUGACGCUGAGGCACGAAGGUCAGGGGAGCAAACGGG
rnacentral:rRNA from 1 species